UAUAUGCUAUCCGAAUUCGAAGAGUUUAGAUUUAUUUCUUUUAUUUUGAGAGGAAUGCUUCAAUACACCAAAAAUAUUAAAAUAUAACUCUUAAUUAGUAAAUGGUAUAGUUAGAUUUUACAUGAAGUAACCUGUUGAAUAGGUUACCGAUUUGAAUUAGUUAAUAUGACAAUAUUGGAAAAAAAAUUAGUAGUAUAUACAAAUUUGUCAAUAUUCUAUAAAUAUUAAAUAUCUUAUUUACUUUUGUUACUUACCAAAUUAAAUAAUACCCAAUUUGUUAAGUAUUCAACUCAAAAAAAUAUUAAAUUUAAAUUUAAUUUUUGAAGUUGGUAUUAUAAUAUAAAAUUUUAAUUUUGAAAUUUAUAUUAAACUUUUUCAAAUUUGAAUCUAAAUUGAACUUUUGAUAUUAAAGCCAAAUUUUAAUUUUUUAUUUAAAUUGAAAUUUUGAAUUGGAACUGAAAGUUUUAUUUUAAAUUUGUGUUUUAUAUUUUAAAAAAUUGAAUUUGAUUUAUAAUUAAGUUUUAAAUGUUGUUUUGAAUUUAAAUUUAUAGUUUUGUUAUAAUUUGAAAUCCAACUAUUGUUGUAGGUAUUUGGGAAGGUCACAGCAUUCUUAGUUAGAUAAAUAGGUUUUAUAGACCAAAAUAUUUUGCUAAGAUCAAAAUACCCUUUAAUUAGUUACCUGGUAAAUGGUACAUAUACCUCAAUAGUAGGUUACUUCUAGAGUCAUAUUAAAUCUAAACUAUCUAUUAAGAAAAAUAAAUGGUCAAGAUUUAUAUGAUGUAUUGAAGUAUUACUCUUAUUUUGAUUUCACAUUU
rnacentral:lncRNA from 1 species